rnacentral:rRNA from 1 species
GACGAACGCUGGCGGCGUGCUUAACACAUGCAAGUCGAACGGAAAGGCCCUGCUUUUGUGGGGUGCUCGAGUGGCGAACGGGUGAGUAACACGUGAGUAACCUGCCCUUGACUUUGGGAUAACUUCAGGAAACUGGGGCUAAUACCGGAUAGGAGCUCCUGCUGCAUGGUGGGGGUUGGAACGUUUCGGCGGGUGGGGAUGGACUCGCGGCUUAUCAGCUUGUUGGUGGGGUAGUGGCUUACCAAGGCUUUGACGGGUAGCCGGCCUGAGAGGGUGACCGGCCACAUUGGGACUGAGAUACGGCCCAGACUCCUACGGGAGGCAGCAGUGGGGAAUAUUGCACAAUGGGCGGAAGCCUGAUGCAGCAACGCCGCGUGCGGGAUGACGGCCUUCGGGGUGUAAACCGCUUUCGCCUGUGACGAAGCGUGAGUGACGGUAAUGGGUAAAGAAGCACCGGCUAACUACGUG